AGGACGAACGCUGGCGGCGUGCUUAACACAUGCAAGUCGAGCGGUAAGGCCUUUCGGGGUACACGAGCGGCGAACGGGUGAGUAACACGUGGGUGAUCUGCCCUGCACUCUGGGAUAAGCCUGGGAAACUGGGUCUAAUACCGGAUAUGACCUGCUCUCGCAUGGGGGGUGGGUGGAAAGAUUUAUCGGUGCAGGAUGGGCCCGCGGCCUAUCAGCUUGUUGGUGGGGUAAUGGCCUACCAAGGCGACGACGGGUAGCCGACCUGAGAGGGUGACCGGCCACACUGGGACUGAGACACGGCCCAGACUCCUACGGGAGGCAGCAGUGGGAAUAUGCACAAUGGGCGAAAGCCUGAUGCAGCGACGCCGCGUGAGGAUGAAGGCCUUCGGGUGUAAACCUCUUUCAGCAGGACGAAGCGCGAAGUGACGGUACUGCAGAAGAAGCACCGCGUAACUACGUGCCGAGCGAGCCGAC
rnacentral:rRNA from 1 species